rnacentral:rRNA from 1 species
CAAUAGCGUAUAUUAAAGUUGUUGCAGUUAAAAGCUCGUAGUUGGAAUUUCUGGCCGAGUGUCCCUAGGCCAGCAUGACGUUUGGUCCUAGGCGCUCUGCCAUCCUUCUGUCAACCUUCGCCUUCUUCAUUGGGGCGCUGGGGCUCGAGAUAUUUUGACCUUGAGAAAAUUAUGAAGUGAUUUUCAGGGCAUGGCUUUUCGCCGGAAUACAUUAGCAUGGAAUAAUGGAAAAGGACUUCAACCUCUUCUGUUGGUCUGAGAGGCUGUAGUAAUGAUUAAUAGGGAUAGUUGGGGGCAUUAGUACUUAACUGUCAGAGGUGAAAUUCUCCGAUUUGUUAAAGAC